GCCAGGGUGGCAUAGUGGUUAGUGCAUCUGCCUAGUGAGUAGAAGAUCUGGAUUCAAAUCCCAGCCUUGGUA